CAGCAGGCUGCCACAAAAGGGCUGUGUUAGCAUCCAGCAUCUUGAUGACUGCAAGGCAGGCUUUAAAUAAGGGAAGAAAUCAAACAAGGACUUUACAUCUGUGGUUGUGCAAGUGCGUCACAUUGGUUAGAAUUUAAGAAUUUUUUUUAUAUCUGUAUACUCUCACUUAAUCAAGGAGUGACAUUUUUCUGGUGCAUUCAAGAUGUCUUUAUUACAAGUAUUCAUUAGGAUGGACCACACCACAAUUAGCUGAGAUUUGAAUUCAUACUCUGUGUAGUCGCUGGUAUGACAUAUUCUAAAGUGAAUGGGCGAAGAUGGGAAUUGCAUGUAGUUAUUUUGUGUUGAAUGCUAUGGUUUUGUGGAGUGCAUAUGAAGAAAUAAAGUUUCAUAAAUGACAAAUAAAUUUCAUGUUGAUAAAUUGUGGAACUGUGUUUGUUAUUUUUCUUUUUUGUGAGAUAAUAAUAAUACAAAAUUUGUAAAGCACAAGCUCACAGUCCUAAGAUAUCUUACCGCCUAAGAACAAGAGUGAAACCUGGACAGUGUACGAGGGACAGGAAAACAAACACAUUAAAAAAGUGAUGGUGCCAAUGUGUUACUGAGGUGGCACAUGAAACUUUGAACUUUAAAAGCAGUUGUGGCACACAGCUCUAUGCCGACUUCCUCUGUUUAGUGGAAUCAUAGCCGGCACCUAUGUUCAAGCAUCUGAUUGACCCGUCAAAUAUUUCAUUUAUACCUAAAAAUCAUGAAGAUCAUUGUUUCCCACUAGUUAGCUGUUUUUUUUAAUUGUCAUACUCCAUUAAAAGUCAUCAUGCUGUAAUAUUAAAGGACUUGUAGGCUGCAAUUUUCUGUGUAUGGUGAUGAUUUUUGCUGUAUUUUAAAAAUCAGAGAAGGAUAUGCAGAUUUCAGUAAAUAUUACCUUACAUUGAGCUUUACCACUCAUUACCAAACAGUAGUGCACCCUCCUUAAGCAGGUCCCAUUCUCGGAAAACAUUUUGGAUCAUGCACAUCAGAAGUUUAUUGCCUGGUCAAGAGUCAUAAUCAAACUUUUAAAAUGUUACUGACUAGCAUAGGUUUAAGUUUGAGUGCUGGUGAGUGAGAGUGCUUUAUUCCAAAAAUACUGAAAAAAGCAAAACUGAUGAAUGACCUCUUUGUUUAGUUGAUUUCAGUGUCUAAAGGAAACUCAUUAAUUGGAGCAUGGAAGUGGGAUAGCUUCUCCACACUCAUCACCACUUUCAAUACCACACAGGAAACACAGCAACAAAAUUGCCUAGGACGCUUACCACAGGGGGAAGAAAUAUGGUUUUAUCAAGCCAUUGCAAUCGUGACUAGUGGGAUUGACCUGAGAAAAGUUAAACAAAGGGUAUGAUCCCUUGAGGAUGUGAAAUCAAAUUCUUUCAGUGACUACAGCUCGCAUGCUUGCUGGCUGUGUGGUAUUCAAAGACAAAAUCUGCAUUGUUGGUGAAAACUCUGCAGUGAGUGAACGAUGGUACAAGGAAUAUUUAGCUGAGUACUGUGUGAGUUCAUUGGAAACAUUUGACCCGACAACAGAAACAUGGAUGGCUGGGCCAGAGCUGCCAAAUCCACUAUGUGGAGCAGGUUUGGUCAAGUUUGGUGAAACCCUCACGAUUGUUGGUUGGGAGGACGAUAAAAGCUGGAUGGUUGGAAUGUGCUGGUUGCGAGAAGAUAAGGAUAGACUUACAUGGAGCGAGGGAAUUGAACUCCCGACUGUAAUGAGCACAUUUGAUUAUGUUGUAGCCAAUAUGCAAAAAAGAACCAAACAUGCAGUUCCUGAAAUUAUUGGGGGCAUUUCUUUAAACAACAAGAUUGUCAAUUCAUAUAAAAAAACAAGGAAGAAGAGGGGAAAUGUUUACUCUGAUUCGUUUUCUUUAAUGUUGAUCAUCAAUACACAUGAGGUCAUGUUUUAUUCCAGAGAUGUUAAUGUCAAACAGUACACUGUGGGAACAUAUAAUACACAGAUUUAAAGACAUGUCCUUACAUUUGUUAGAAGAUUUUUUUAGAGGUGUGUAUAUAUGUUGUUGGGGUGUGAUGAAUGUAUUUGUGUCAGUUCCUCACAGUUGAAAUGUGAGAGAUAGCAGCAGUUAACAGUUUUAUUGUCUUUCCCUUCAUGAACGUCAUGAGCUUACCUCUCAGGGAGAGGUAUGCACAUCCUAAAGGAUCUGCUGUUAUUAUUUGUGUAUGUGAAGAUUUUCAUGUUGUCCAGCUCGAUCCAUGGAUACUCUUCCACUUGGUGUAUUUAUUUUGCACAAUGGAUUAAACAUGUUUACACACAGAAAUUGAAAUUUUGUUCAGCUGGGUGAAGAAAACUAGAUUGGGUUGCACAUAUCGAUGUGUGCUCUUGUGAUAUUUCUUUUUUAUACUUUCUUUGAUACUGCAUGGAAGGAGAAAUAUUUGAUUAGAAAAUGCAAUGUGUAAAAUAUUUUGUUGUAUUAAAGACUCUGUGGAAAAGAAUGUCCUUUGAACGACUGUGUUGGUCUAAGCAGAUGUGUUGCUUGUGACAUUUUU